rnacentral:misc_RNA from 1 species
GCAUCAUUGGAUCCAGAGUUCCAGCUGCUUUUCUUGCCAUAACCAGAACUUUGGUUAGUAUCACCAGAUUCAGAGUUGAAAUUUUUCUUGCCCCAACCAGAACCCUGAUUCCCAUCUGCAUCAUUGGAUCCAGAGUUCCAAUUACAUCUCUUGCCCCAGGUUGAGCCUGCUCUGCCAGAAUCACCGGAUCCAGAGCUACUGCCACCCUUGUUACCCCAAUCAGAAUCAUGGUUUUUACCUGCAUCAUUUGAUCCACUUCUCAAGCUAGCACUUUGACCCCAUCCCUUUGCCAACUCUCCAUCCAAAGCUUGUCCACCAUUCCAACCAUCUUGAUCUUUAUGCUCACUCUCCUUUUCGAUUUCAUCAGAUUUCUGAUCGCAACUGGACUUCUGUCCAGAAGAUUUAGAACCACACCAACUGCUUUUGCUGCCCCAACCAGAAGGCUGGCUAUUGUCCACAUCACCAGCUUUAUUAUCCCAUGAUGACUUGGAGCAUUUAGGAGCACCCCAAUCUGUCUGCUUUGUACCUACCCCACAUGUUCCACUUAUCCAACCAGUAGCAUCUCCUGUAGAAGCUUUCUCCUUGUUGCUUUUGCUGCCUCCACCCCAACUUUGACUUGGCCCUUCAUUUGCAGCAGGCCCUUUGUUCCAAUCAGUUGUCCAGUUCCCACCAACUGAAUUUGAUGCAUUCCAUUUUGGAGCUUCUGUUUGCCCUCCUAAUGAUUGAUUAUCUAAAUUGUUGUCAUCACCCUGACAUUCACCUUUAUCAUCACCCCAACUAGAUUUCUUCUCAAAAGAGGACUUUGCACAAUUCCAUUUGUCCCAAUUUUCACCAAUCUCUUUACCUGCUCCCUUGCUUUUGUUCCAUCCUGCUCCAUUAUCCCCCCAAGAAGAAUUUGGUUUCUUCUGAUCACCUUCUCUACCUUCCUCAGAGACAUCGGAUGUAACCCAACCACCAACUUGAUCAUUACCCCAACCAGAUGGAUUCCUUGAAGGUGUUCCAUCACCUGUCCAAUUGCUUCCUUCACCUCCUUUCUUCCAACCUGAAGACUGAUCUUCUCCAAAUGGUCUUCUUCCUCUGCCAAAUUGACCUCUACCUCCCCUACCACCUCCUCUUCUUCCACCUGAUCCACGACCUCCAUCAAAUGUCUUGUUCCAACCGCCAAAUUCUUGAAAUCUAUCCUGGUUUCCGGAAGAACCUCCAUCUUGCUUACUCCAAGAAGACACUCCCUCUGAUUUGCCCCAAGAGGAUCCAUCUUGCUUAUUCCAAGAUGGCCCUCCAUCUGGUUUACCCCAAGCAGAUUCUCCCUCUUGCUUAUUACAAGAUCCUCCAUCAGUACCAAAGGUCUUUGAUUUAUUCCAAUUGUCACUCUGCGUCUGGCCACAAGAUCCGCCUCUAGUCCAACCAGUUGCAUCUUCACUGUGAUUUUUUUGGUUUCCCCAAUUUGCAGUUUGACCUGCACCAUCAACUUUGGCUUUCAUCCAGCCACUCGCUUCAUCAGCAUUUCCCAAAUCUGGUUGGGCCCAGCUACCACAUGCAGUACCUCCCCAAGUGUCCACUUUGUUCUGAGCUUUCUCAUCCUUAUUCCAGGGGUCCGUACCUGUCCUGGAUCUUUUACCCCAAGAAUCAUGAACAGUAUCUUUAUUUAGGGCUUCUGCAGUACUUCCCCAGUUGUCCUUGUUCUGAGAUUUUUGUUGAUUCCACCCAGUAGCAUUGUUACAGUGGUCGUCACCUGCACUGGAGCUUUUACUGUUCCAUGAUCCUGAUUGUACUACAUCCUUACUGCUGCCCAAAGAGUCCAGCUGAUUCUUCUUAGUGGCAAUGUCUCCCCAGCUGGUGGUUGGAUUUCCAAUAACAGUCUUUCCGUUGUCCCAAGCUGUUGCAGCAUCAGUUGUAGAAUUUCCAUCAUAAAGUUUUGAUUGACCCCAGCCAUCUCCAGAAUCUCUUGAAGCACCUGCAGGAUUUUCACUGGGUAAAGUUGCUUUACCCCAGCCAACAGAUGCACCACUGCUAGAACCUACAUUAGUAGAAGCUUUGUUCCAACUAUCCUCAUUUCCCCAACCAUGCACUUGACCAUUAUUAGCAACAGCCUUGUCAUCAGCUGCAGCUGCCCCCCAAAAGGAAUUCUGAUUUGAAGCUUUCCUUUCCCAAGAAGCAUCUACUUCCUUAGUAUUGUUAUCUGCAGAACCUGAUGAAUUGGCAAAGUUGGAUUCAGACUGAAGCUGCAAUAAUCACAAGACAGGAAUUACUCUUAUGGGUAAAGUUGGUGAUGGGAAGGGGUGUAUGUGUGUGUGUGUCUAAAUAUCCUGAGCGAAAAUUCAGGAGAAACCUUCAAGCCUGAGGAAGAGAAGCUGGGCCAUGAACUUUCAGUGGCGGCUCCUCCAGUAUUCCACUUAUCACCAUCAGCUGAUGUUCCUGCUCCAUCUGUCCAACCUGUAGAACCCCCUUCAGUUCCAAGUAGAUCAAAUGGUUUUAAAGAACUGGACCCCAGAUCGUCGCUCACAGGCAUGGCAGAACUCUUCCCACGAACCUCAGAGAGAUGCUCACAUUUUACUGUAAGAACUUUCUGCUGAGAAUCAAGCUUCACAGUAACAUCAGAAUAACGUAUAGCCAAAACACGGCAAAGGUAACCCUUCAAAGGUCCUACACGGAUUCUCAAGGUCUGACCAAUGGAGAACAUUCCAUCCUUAUCCCCUCUGUUGAACUCCCGACUAUUUUCCUUUGUUUGCCAUGGUUUUUUAGGUGAUAGAGGAGGAGAUUUGGGGGAUGAUGGGAAAUCUUCAAAGCCUACUGGGCCCGAUUCACCACCCUUUUCACUGGAAGCAUCAAAAGAAAGCUUGAUUUUCUCGCACAUUUGAGCUUUAGAACAGAAAUAACCACCAUUUUCUGUCUCAUUCUCAUCAUACAUAAAAAUAAUUCCUCUGUAGAUUUGCUUAGCGAUUCCUUGCCUAUCCUUUAAUGGACCUUCCAACACCCUGACAGUAUCAUUAAUUGAAACAGUUUUCAUGCGGUGAUCUAACGCAAUAAAUUUCAUAUCUGAGGGUCCAUUUUUUAACUCAUGCCGUACAACAGUCACCACUACUGGUGCUUCCGGUCCAUCUUUUAGAAUCUUGUAAUAAUCAUCUUUUUCCAUGCCUACAAUAAGACCAAAAUCUUUCCGGCCAAAACACACAAGAUCAUACAGUUCAAAACUACUAUCGGCACCAGAACCUGAUGAACUCUCUCCUUUCUCACUGCCUUUGCCAUUUCCAAUUACACGUUUUUUCUUUGGUGUACCAUAAAUCUGUUUAAGCCAUUCUGAAUUAUCAGACUCAUUAUUCUCAGAAGGCUGGAACUUGAGCAGCUCCUCGUCGGAUGGCAUAACACCCCAACAGCUUAAUGAAUCUACAGAAACCCUUUUAUACAAAUACCCAUCCUUGAGCAUCAGACCAUCAAGAACCUCAAACAUCCUGCCAGUAUCACGGUCACGUCUAUAUUGAACAAGAGGCCGGAACUCCUCUAGUUCACUUGAGCUGAGCAAUCUAGGAGCAGGUGUUGCAGCAUUCUUCAUGGAAACUCCCCCACCAAAUUUUUGGGCCAAUGCUUGUAGAUCAAUUCUUGGAAUAAGCUUCACUGUUGCUCUUUUCCGUGCAUCAUUUACAGCAACAACCUGUGCAAGGUCCCCCUUGUAUUUCCCAUUCUUGAUACGGGCCCACAUACCCUCACUAACUACAUUAGAUUUACUUCGAACAGAAAGUAUAUGAGAAACUUCAUUUUUUGGAACUGGUGCCACUCUAGUAGAGUAAAUGCUACAAAGCCCUUUACAAGCCUCGUUAAUAUCACAUUGCUUAUCAGCUUCAAUGUAAACAAAGCCCUUUACAUGGUCAACAGCAAAUGCAGAAAUUAUCUGCAGUUUAGUGCCUAGAGAUUUCAAGUCAGCAAACUUCUGCAUGAGGCAGAAAGCUGAGUGCCUCUCACGUCCAACCAUGCAUUUGACCUUCCAGAUAGUUGGAUCCCUAGAAGAUGGAAAAUGAAUAUUUCUUUCCAUGGAUUUAGUUUCAAAAUCAUCUUCAGCAUAUGUAACAAAACUAGAACCUUCUUUGUAACGUUCCUCCAUCAUCUUAUCAAAUUCUUCCUCAUCCAUAGCCUCCUCUUUGGGAAUAAAUGAGAUAUUCUGCAUUUUCACUGGUUCUUUCUUGACUUUCAGCUCAAUGUCAAAUUCUUUACGUGAUUGGAAAGUCAUUGUUAGCAAAAGGAAGUUUCAUUAAAUAAACAUGCUAAUGCAACAUGAAACUAAGAUUGUCUUCUUAUAUCAUGGCAAGGAUAAGAGAAGACCACCAUAAGCAAGGAUCAUGAAUAAUUUUAACAACCAUCUUGGCAAGAUAUCAGCAACUCCAAAUAUCACAAAAAUUGUAACAAGAAACAAUCAAAACAAAAGCUUAAGCCUGAAAUAUGUUUGCCAAAUAAAAGGCUGAUUUAACUCAAAUACGAACAACCUUCCAAGCAGUGCUUAAAAUCAGCAGAAAAAUCUUUAAAUACCAACAAACCACCCUGAAAUUUGACACAGAAAACCACAUGAACCACCAACAACCAUCCAAUUCAAACCUCUCUUAUUGCCCUCAAAGACCCCAAAAUAACACUAUAAGUCUAUUGAAGCUCUCGAUGAUCAGCAUUUCCUACGAAUGGGAAGAAAAGACAUCAAAAUUCUUACAAAAACUAAAGAUGAGAAAAACCUAAUCAUUACCAGUUCAACAAAAAGAAAGACCCAAAAACAGACCUUACAAUCCAGGAACAUUUACGAAAAACUAAAAUAAAGAAGCAAAAUAGCAAAAGAAUUAAUAAUAAUAAUUAAUAAGGCAAAACAACACCCCUUCCCAAGCAUGCAAUGACGAAUCGUCACUAGUAUUUCCCUCAAAACCCUAAUAUAUAAAUCGAAAAUAAAAACCUCUUAAGGCACCCAAACACCUCCAAUUUUCACCCACCUCAAAGCCCUAGAAUCCGAAACAUAAAUCACAAUGCACAACCAAAACAGAAUUUUAUUAUACCAUCGUCAUCAAAAUCACUCUGGUCGCUCUCGUCGUCGUCGACCUCAGCUGUAUCCUCGAAGAACUGAAGAACCUCGCGGUUUCUCCUCUUCCUGCCACUGCCGGGAAUGUCUUCAUCAGCACCACCGCCACGCUCCCGCUUACUGCCGGAGGAGGAUUUUCCGGUAACAACCUCCUUGCCCUUGGAUGCCAUUUCGAAGCGACAAUGUGAGGUUUACUGUGUGAUUCACAUACAGGUACAGAAAGACUAGUAGAGUGGCCCUUGGACUGCAGAAAUUUCUGCUUACACUGGGCUGUUCCUCCCGACUGAUGACCUGGCUGGCACAGCCGCAGCGGAUUUUAAACAGGUGGAGUUAUGAAUUAUGAGAAUUAACAACAAUGACACCUCUCGCGAAAUC